UGGCAAUUUAUCCCUUUCCAAAUUGUUUCACUCUCGUUUUCCAUAUGAGAACUGAUGUGUUCUAAAUGGAUAUCUAGGACGACUUAGUCCCCUGGGGCCAACAGAAAUAAGCAGGGUUGAAGGUGAUUCCAAUUUCCAAAGAACAAGUGGAAGAACAAUUGAAAAGAUCUGCCUUAAUUAGCCCAGUGACAUGACUGAACUGAGAAACAAUAGUCUAUGAGGCCAGGCCUCACUGUUUCAUGGUGCAGCACAUUGGACUAGUCCUGACAGUAGUCUUCAAGCAACGUGUCAAUUUGAUUUGCAGCACUUGACAAGAAGUUGUGGAGUAACUGUUGGAAAAUCUAAUUUCCAUUUUCAAGUAUCUCAAAGGAAAAAUAGUUUAUGAGAUCACCUACAAACUUGAUGGCUUUAUAAGACAGACUUGUCACACUGGCCGGAAUUAAAAGUUGGCAAUGGCGCCCUUGCCCAGCAACGGGAUAACAUGUGGGAGCCUUUCUCCAGGAGGCCAAUGUUAUGUUGAGCCAGGCUGAUUGGGACCUCAUCUUGAAACCAGUCUGAGGAUGGAGUAGAAUCAAAAUAAACCAUGUUUCAACUUCA